rnacentral:rRNA from 1 species
GGCUCAGAUUGAACGCUGGCGGCAUGCUUUACACAUGCAAGUCGAACGGCAGCGCGGGGCAACCUGGCGGCGAGUGGCGAACGGGUGAGUAAUAUAUCGGAACGUACCCAAGAGUGGGGGAUAACGUAGCGAAAGUUACGCUAAUACCGCAUACGAUCUCAAGGAUGAAAGUGGGGGAUCUUCGGACCUCAUGCUCCUGGAGCGGCCGAUAUCUGAUUAGCUAGUUGGUGAGGUAAAGGCUCACCAAGGCGACGAUCAGUAGCUGGUCUGAGAGGACGACCAGCCACACUGGAACUGAGACACGGUCCAGACUCCUACGGGAGGCAGCAGUGGGGAAUUUUGGACAAUGGGCGCAAGCCUGAUCCAGCAAUGCCGCGUGAGUGAAGAAGGCCUUCGGGUUGUAAAGCUCUUUUGUCAGGGAAGAAACGGUCGCGAGAGCUAAUAUCCU